rnacentral:rRNA from 1 species
GUGAGUAACCUGCCCUUGACUCUGGGAUAAGCCUGGGAAACUGGGUCUAAUACCGGAUAUGACUUCUCAUCGCAUGGUGGGGGGUGGAAAGCUUUUGUGGUUUUGGAUGGACUCGCGGCCUAUCAGCUUGUUGGUGGGGUAAUGGCCUACCAAGGCGACGACGGGUAGCCGGCCUGAGAGGGUGACCGGCCACACUGGGACUGAGACACGGCCCAGACUCCUACGGGAGGCAGCAGUGGGGAAUAUUGCACAAUGGGCGCAAGCCUGAUGCAGCGACGCCGCGUGAGGGAUGACGGCCUUCGGGUUGUAAACCUCUUUCAGUAGGGAAGAAGCCCUCUUUUGGGGGUGACGGUACUUGCAGAAGAAGCGCCGGCUAACUACGUGCCAGCAGCCGCGGUAAUACGUAGGGCGCAAGCGUUAUCCGGAAUUAUUGGGCGUAAAGAGCUCGUAGGCGGUUUGUC